ACCAUGCAGUCGAACGGGAUCCGGGCAGCUUGCUGUCUGGUGAGAGUGGCGAACGGGUGAGUAAUGCGUGACCAACCUGCCCCAUGCUUCGGAAUAGCUCCUGGAAACGGGUGGUAAUGCCGGAUGCUCCGCACCGUCGCAUGAUGGUGUGGGAAAGGGUUUACCGGCAUGGGAUGGGGUCGCGUCCUAUCAGCUUGUUGGCGGGGUGAUGGCCUGCCAAGGCUUCGACGGGUAGCCGGCCUGAGAGGGCGACCGGCCACAUUGGGACUGAGAUACGGCCCAGACUCCUACGGGAGGCAGCAGUGGGGAAUAUUGCACAAUGGGCGAAAGCCUGAUGCAGCGACGCCGCGUGCGGGAUGACGGCCUUCGGGUUGUAAACCGCUUUUGAUUGGGAGCAAGCGAGAGUGAGUGUACCUUUCGAAUAAGCACCGGCUAACUACGUGCCAGCAGCCGCGGUAAUACGUAGGGUGCAAGCGUUAUCCGGAUUUAUUGGGCGUAAAGAGCUCGUAGGCGGUUCGUCGCGUCUGGUGUGAAAGUCCAUCGCUUAACGGUGGAUCGGCGCCGGGUACGGGCGGACUGGAGUGCGGUAGGGGAGACUGGAAUUCCCGGUGUAACGGUGGAAUGUGUAGAUAUCGGGAAGAACACCGAUGGCGAAGGCAGGUCUCUGGGCCGUCACUGACGCUGAGGAGCGAAAGCGUGGGGAGCGAACAGGAUUAGAUACCCUGGUAGUCCACGCCGUAAACGGUGGAUGCUGGAUGUGGGGCCCGUUCCACGGGUUCCGUGUCGGAGCUAACGCGUUAAGCAUCCCGCCUGGGGAGUACGGCCGCAAGGCUAAAACUCAAAGAAAUUGACGGGGGCCCGCACAAGCGGCGGAGCAUGCGGAUUAAUUCGAUGCAACGCGAAGAACCUUACCUGGGCUUGACAUGUGCCGGACGGCCGCGGAGACGCGGUUUCCCUUCGGGGCCGGUUCA
rnacentral:rRNA from 1 species